CGGCAUGCCGUGGACACUUUGGGAAUCUUGCUGAGAAAUGGCGCCACCAGUGGUUUGUGGAUCCCGGGGUUCUGCAACUGGAUCAAAGAGGUGUCCUCCAUCUCUCUGCUGUCGCUCAUUUUCCUAUAUGAAGGACAUCUUAACUUCCAGAGCUGUGCCUCCUCGUCCAUCCGUGUAUUCCUCUAAUCUCAACCCAAAAGUUUGAAAGUGAAGCAGCACAAAGCUGACCUUUAAAGACUCUUCCUGAGCAUACCAAACCUGUGUCCCUGAAUCCAUGGAAGCCAAGGCCAAGGCUGGGGCUUCAGCGCCCAAGGCAGCAUCCAAAGCAGAAAAGAAAGAGCCAGCAGCACCACCCAAGUCUGAUCCUGCCCCUGCAGCCCCCGAGCCCGAGAAACCUACUCCGUCCCAGGAUGGAGCAGCAGAAGCUGAGUCAGCAGCAGGUGACAAAGCCUCUGGUACAGACUCUCUGGAACACCUGAAGCCCUUUCUUAUUGGUGGAGCUGUUAUCGCUGCAGGAGCCAUUUUGCUGGGAGCGCUGUUGCUAGCAAGGAGAAAUUGAAUCAAAAUGAGAAUAUUGUUGACUGGUUCACAGACUUUUCUGGUUUGAUGGGCGGUGGGGAGACACAGCAGUCUGUGCUUUUUUUUAUAUUUGUUUGUCUUGUUUAGGUUUUUUUUCUUGGCCUGUUUCCACGUGUACUGCAUCAACAAAUAUAACCUUAAAACAAGGCUUUAUAUGGAGCAUAACUAUACUUGGUAUAUGCAUGAAGUUGCUACAAUAUUGCAUAUAAAAUGUAAUUAGAACAUUUUUUUAAAAAAGAAAAAAACUUGCACUGCAUUACAUAGCCACCUAAACUCUCUAAAUCCAGUUUAAUGUCAUACUUUUUCCAGUUUGUACAAAUAUUGAUACAUAAUUUCAAUAUUUAUACAUUCUUGGAGGUGAUUUUGCUUAAAGGUUGUGAAAAAAAAUGUAUUCUGUAUCAAUAAUGUCCUUUGACUGUCUGAGUUCUAGGCUUUUAUUUUAUUUUAGUUUAUUUUAGAGUAAAGAAGUUGGUGAAAGUAGAGGAAAGCUUUUUGCACUGUGAAUAUUCUGCAUGUUUUGGCCAAAGGAACACCUUGCAAGGUAGCUAGGGAUUCAUAAUGACUGUGAUUAGACAUGCAUCUUUGAGCCUCUUUGGGCUCAGAAACAGAAGCUGACUGCAUAGAUUUUGAACAAUUUUGGGUUGAAAACAAGCAAAGUGAAUUUAACAGCAGUAUGUGCAAAGAGGUAAAAAAAACGUAAUAAUGAGAUCAAGACCUAAUUCAGUUUUUCAUCCGAAAGGAAACCCAUAUAUUUUGGCUGACUGUUAUCAUUUGUGCACUUCCUGGGCUGAGAUUUCUUUCCUCUAACAACCUAGAAUCACUAAACAUUUUUAGAAUCAGAACAUACAAGCAUGACAUGGCAAAGGAAAUAAAAUGCAAAAGACAUUUGGACUUAAAUAUAUUUUAAUGUAGAUUAAGGGGGAUAUAUUUUUCCUGUAAAAUAAUAUUAAAAAUAGAUAACCUUUCACAAACCCAAACUGUUCUGAUGUUUAAAUCUGUUUACAUCUAAUAUUUGACACUACAGUAUAUGUGGGUUACAUUAGGCUGAAAAGCUGCUGUCAAAACUUCAGAGUUGUUAAUGUCUUUCCUCUGCUCUUCUCAUGUUUUCAAAUGUACAAACUAUAUAAAUGACUUAAAAGCAUCUUACAUUUACAGGAGCAUGAAAGUAUGUGUAUAUUUACUGUCAUAAUUCACUUAAAUGAGGAGAAAAAACACACACAUUGUUUUGCUGCACAAACUCAUCUGUACAGCUGUUCACAGUGAUUUCUGCUUUGCAUUGUAUAUCUCAUCAGGUUGACUCUGACUAUAAAGUAGAAAGUUAGUUCCUGCACACAAACACACACAUUUAGUCUCUAGUUUAAAAAUAGUUUAAAAAUAUAACAGUUUAGACCAAAUCGUUAUAUAUAAACAUUCAACAUUCACCACAGCUUCCCUACUAUGAUCAAAAGAUAGUAUGCCAAAAAAAUAAAUCUCAGUACAUUGUACUGUACAGUGUAUUUAAAAAAAAGUAGAAGAAGGAAAUUCCUAUUUUCAUAAUUUCAAACAGCGUAUAAAUGCAAUAAUUCAAGUAGGACUAUUCAUUUAGCACAUGUGCUGUAGCAGAUUAAAUUACAUAGAUGAUGUAAUAAUGUAUGAUGUUACUGAUGGCUAUGAUAGUGAUGAUAUUUAUCAUGGUGAGUGUAAUGAUGGAUAUAUAUUUUUUAUAUUUUUUAACAUAUCUUCCUAAUGCACCCUCCCCUCUGAUCUCAAACAUCUAAGUGUAAAGAAAAGAGUUUGAAAACCAACUUUAUUAAAGACAGUGAACCAUGAA